UUUGGGGGAAUUUAUUUAUCCUAAUAAAGGCAGAAGUUAUACUUAUUCUGCUUACUCCUACUAUAUAUUGAGACUUAGUAUUUCCACUACAUUUUAUAUAUAAUACUUAUUAAAAGUUACAUUUUAGCUGGGUUACUCGCUAUUGAGAGGGGUUCACCUACUAAAUGGUUCAACCUUUUGUUUCUCUUUUCUAUACUUUAGU